rnacentral:rRNA from 1 species
AUUGAACGCUGGCGGCAGGCCUAACACAUGCAAGUCGAACGGUAACAGGAAGCAGCUUGCUGCUUCGCUGACGAGUGGCGGACGGGUGAGUAAUGUCUGGGAAGCUGCCUGAUGGAGGGGGAUAACUACUGGAAACGGUAGCUAAUACCGCAUAAUGUCGCAAGACCAAAGAGGCGGACCUUCGGGCCUCUUGCCAUCGGAUGUGCCCAGAUGGGAUUAGCUUGUUGGUGGGGUAACGGCUCACCAAGGCGACGAUCCCUAGCUGGUCUGAGAGGAUGACCAGCCACACUGGAACUGAGACACGGUCCAGACUCCUACGGGAGGCAGCAGUGGGGAAUAUUGCACAAUGGGCGCAAGCCUGAUGCAGCCAUGCCGCGUGUAUGAAGAAGGCCUUCGGGUUGUAAAGUACUUUCAGCGGGGAGGAAGGGAGUAAAGUUAAUACCUUGGCUCAUUGACGUUACCCGCAGAAGAAGCACCGGCUAACUCCGUG